rnacentral:rRNA from 1 species
UGUGCCGACGACAGAUCAAACAAGAUCGCGCCCUAUCAAUUUGUUGUUAGGAUAUUUUCCUAACAAGGUUGUAACGGGUGACGGGGAAUCAGGGUUUGAUUCCGGAGAGGGAGCAUGAGAUAUAGCUACCACAUCUAAGGAAGGCAGCAGGCGCGCAAAUUACCCACUCCCGACACGGGGAGGUAGUGACGAGAAAUAUCGGCUCCUAUUCAAUUGAGUAGGAGACCGAAAUGGACGAAAUUCAGGUCCAUUCGUGAGUAACAAGCAGAGGGCAAGUCUGGUGCCAGCAGCCGCGGUAAUUCCAGCUCUGCACGCAUAUGCGAGAUUUGUUGCAUUUAAAAAGCUCGUAGUCGGACGGUUCCACAAUUUUGUCGAUUGGACACUGCAUGUGCUGCAUAAUUUUGUCUACCUAACUAAGGAGGCAACAAAAUUUUUGUUAGUUCACUACAGUGCUCUUAAUAUUGACUAGUUGUGGACAAACGCAAGCUCCUGAUCUGCCCUUAAUUGGGUGUAUCAGCUGUAAGUUUGCGGACGUACCUUGAACAAAUCGGCUUGUUCAAAGUAGGCCUAGUGCCUGGACAUUCUAGCAUGGAAUGUUCGAUCGAGACCUGAUCGUUUGGUCGGAAACGAGUAAGGUCCAGGUCAAAAGAGACAUUUGGGGGCAUAAGAACUCG